GACGAACGCUGGCGGCGUGCUUAACACAUGCAAGUCGAACGGAAAGGCCCUGCUUUUGUGGGGUGCUCGAGUGGCGAACGGGUGAGUAACACGUGAGUAACCUGCCCUUGACUUUGGGAUAACUUCAGGAAACUGGGGCUCAUACCGGAUAGGAGCUCCUGCUGCAUGGUGGGGGAUGGAAAGUUUCGGCGGUUGGGGAUGGACUCGCGGCGUAACAGCUUGUUGGUGGGGUAGUGGCUUACCAAGGCUUUGACGGGUAGCCGGCCUGAGAGGGUGACCGGCCACAUUGGGACUGAGAUGCGGCCCAGACUCCUACGGGAGGCAGCAGUGGGGAAUAUUGCACAAUGGGCGGAAGCCUGAUGCAGCAACGCCGCGUGCGGUAUGACGGCCUUCGGGUUGUAAACCGCUUGCGCCUGUGACGAAGCGUGAGUGACGGUAAUGGGUAAAGAAGCACCGGCUAACUACGUG
rnacentral:rRNA from 1 species